rnacentral:rRNA from 1 species
ACGCUCGACACCUACGGGGGCAGCAGUGGGGAAUAUUGCACAAUGGGGGAAACCCUGAUGCAGCGACGCCGCGUGAGUGAAGAAGUAUUUCGGUAUGUAAAGCUCUAUCAGCAGGGAAGAAGAUGACGGUACCUGAGUAAGAAGCCCCGGCUAACUACGUGCAAGCAGCCGCGGUAAUCUGAGCGGGCUGGCAAGGC